rnacentral:rRNA from 1 species
AGAGUUUGAUCAUGGCUCAGAUUGAACGCUGGCGGCAGGCCUAACACAUGCAAGUCGAGCGGUAGCACAGAGAGCUUGCUCUCGGGUGACGAGCGGCGGACGGGUGAGUAAUGUCUGGGAAACUGCCUGAUGGAGGGGGAUAACUACUGGAAACGGUAGCUAAUACCGCAUAACGUCGCAAGACCAAAGUGGGGGACCUUCGGGCCUCAUGCCAUCAGAUGUGCCCAGAUGGGAUUAGCUAGUAGGUGGGGUAACGGCUCACCUAGGCGACGAUCCCUAGCUGGUCUGAGAGGAUGACCAGCCACACUGGAACUGAGACACGGUCCAGACUCCUACGGGAGGCAGCAGUGGGGAAUAUUGCACAAUGGGCGCAAGCCUGAUGCAGCCAUGCCGCGUGUGUGAAGAAGGCCUUCGGGUUGUAAAGCACUUUCAGCGGGGAGGAAGGCGNNNNNNNNNNNNNNNNNNNCGAUUGACGUUACCCGCAGAAGAAGCACCGGCUAACUCCGUGCCAGCAGCCGCGGUAAUACGGAGGGUGCAAGCGUUAAUCGGAAUUACUGGGCGUAAAGCGCACGCAGGCGGUCUGUCAAGUCGGAUGUGAAAUCCCCGGGCUCAACCUGGGAACUGCAUUCGAAACUGGCAGGCUAGAGUCUUGUAGAGGGGGGUAGAAUUCCAGGUGUAGCGGUGAAAUGCGUAGAGAUCUGGAGGAAUACCGGUGGCGAAGGCGGCCCCCUGGACAAAGACUGACGCUCAGGUGCGAAAGCGUGGGGAGCAAACAGGAUUAGAUACCCUGGUAGUCCACGCCGUAAACGAUGUCGAUUUGGAGGUUGUGCCCUUGAGGCGUGGCUUCCGGAGCUAACGCGUUAAAUCGACCGCCUGGGGAGUACGGCCGCAAGGUUAAAACUCAAAUGAAUUGACGGGGGCCCGCACAAGCGGUGGAGCAUGUGGUUUAAUUCGAUGCAACGCGAAGAACCUUACCUGGUCUUGACAUCCACAGAACUUUCCAGAGAUGGAUUGGUGCCUUCGGGAACUGUGAGACAGGUGCUGCAUGGCUGUCGUCAGCUCGUGUUGUGAAAUGUUGGGUUAAGUCCCGCAACGAGCGCAACCCUUAUCCUUUGUUGCCAGCGGUUAGGCCGGGAACUCAAAGGAGACUGCCAGUGAUAAACUGGAGGAAGGUGGGGAUGACGUCAAGUCAUCAUGGCCCUUACGACCAGGGCUACACACGUGCUACAAUGGCAUAUACAAAGAGAAGCGACCUCGCGAGAGCAAGCGGACCUCAUAAAGUAUGUCGUAGUCCGGAUUGGAGUCUGCAACUCGACUCCAUGAAGUCGGAAUCGCUAGUAAUCGUAGAUCAGAAUGCUACGGUGAAUACGUUCCCGGGCCUUGUACACACCGCCCGUCACACCAUGGGAGUGGGUUGCAAAAGAAGUAGGUAGCUUAACCUUCGGGAGGGCGCUUACCACUUUGUGAUUCAUGACUGGGGUGAAGUCGUAACAAGGUAACCGUAGGGGAACCUGCGGUUG